AAAACGACUCUCGGCAACGGAUAUCUCGGCUCUCGCAUCGAUGAAGAACGUAGCGAAAUGCGAUACUUGGUGUGAAUUGCAGAAUCCCGUGAACCAUCGAGUCUUUGAACGCAAGUUGCGCCCCACGCCUUCUGGCCGAGGGCACGUCUGCCUGGGUGUCACAA
rnacentral:rRNA from 3 species